rfam:Homo sapiens chromosome 6 genomic contig, GRCh38 reference assembly alternate locus group ALT_REF_LOCI_4.
GCUGGGCGUGGUGGCGUGUGCCUGUAAUCCCAGCUACUCGGGAGGCUGAAGCAGGAGAAUUGCCUGAACCAGGGAGGCAGAGGUUGCAGUGAGCUGAGAUUGCACCACUGCACUCCAGCCUGGGCGACGAGAGUGAAACUCCGUCUUAAAAAAAAAGAAAGUCUUACUCUGUCGUCCAGGCUGGAGUGCAGUGGCACAAUCUCGGCUCACUGCAACCUCUGCCUCCCGGGUUCAGGCGAUUCUCCUGCUUCAG